rnacentral:piRNA from 1 species
UGUUGUCUGUGUAUAUAUGUAUUACC